rnacentral:rRNA from 1 species
AUUGAACGCUGGCGGCAGGCCUAACACAUGCAAGUCGAACGAGUGGCGGACGGGUGAGUAAUGUCUGGGAAACUGCCUGAUGGAGGGGGAUAACUACUGGAAACGGUAGCUAAUACCGCAUACCAUCGGAUGUGCCCAGAUGGGAUUAGCUAGUGGGUGGGGUAAAGGCUCACCUAGGCGACGAUCCCUAGCUGGUCUGAGAGGAUGACCAGCCACACUGGAACGGAGACACGGUCCAGACUCCUACGGGAGGCAGCAGUGGGGAAUAUUGCACAAUGGGCGCAAGCCUGAUGCAGCCAUGCCGCGUGUAUGAAGAAGGCCUUCGGGUUGUAAAGUACUUUCAGCGGGGAAGAGUUACCUGCAGAAGAAGCACCGGCUAACUCCGUGCCAGCAGCCGCGGUAAUUC